CGGGACGGGUGGAGUAACGCGUGGGUAACCUGCCCCAUAGAGGGGGACGAACAGCUGGAAACGGCUGCUAAUACCGCAUAGCAGGGAAGAGACGCAUGUCUUUUUCUUUCAAAGAUUUAUCGCUAUGGGAUGGACCCGCGUCUGAUUAGCUAGUUGGUAAGGUAACGGCCUACCAAGGCGACGAUCAGUAGCCGGCUUGAGAGAGUGGACGGCCACAUUGGGACGUGAGACACGGCCCAGACUCCCUACGGAAGGCAGCAG
rnacentral:rRNA from 1 species